AAUUUUGUAUAUUGUUAACAAGAAAUGAGAAGAUUGAUAGUGUUUUUAGUGUUCUUGUUUUGCUAAAUUUUGUAUAUUGUUAUCAAGAAAUGAGAAGGUCGAUAGUGUUAUUAUGUUCUUGUUUUGCUAAAUUUUGUAUAUUCUUAUCAAGAAAUGAGAAGAUUGACAGUGUUAUUAGUGUUCUUGUUUUGCUAAAUUUUGUAUAUUGUUAUCAAGAAAUGAGAAGAUCGAUUGUGUUAUUAGUGUUCUUGUUUUGCUAAUUUUGUAUAUUAUUGCCAAGAAAGGAGAAGAUGGAUAGUGUUAUUAGUGUUCUUGUUUUGCUAAAUUGUGUAUAUUGUUAUCAAGAAAUGAGAAGAUUGAUAGUGUUAUUAGUGUUCUUGUUUUGCUAAAUUUUGUCAAUUGUUAUCAAGAAAUGAGAAGAUUGAUAGUGUUAUUAGUGUUCUUGUUUUGCUAAAUUUUGUUUAUUGUUAUCAAGAAAUGAGAAGAUUGAUAGUGUUAUUAGUGUUCUUGUUUUGCUAAAUUUUGUUUAUCAAGGAAAUUGAGACAGACUGAUAGUGUUAUUAGUGUUCUUACGUUUUGGUUAAAUUUUGUAUAUUCUUAUCAAGCAAAAUGAGAGGAUUGAUAGUGGUUAUCGAUUUCAUUAUUGAUUUUGCUAAUUUUGAUUAUUCUAUCAAGAAAUGAGAAGAUUGAUAGUAUUAUUUUCUUGGUUUUGCUCAAAAUUUUGUAUAUUGGUUAGUCCAAAAACUGAGAAACUUGAUAAUGUUAUUAGUGUCUUGUUUUGCUAAAUUUUUUUAUAUUGAUUUAUGGAGCAAUGAGAGAUUGAUAGUUUUAUUAGUGUUUCUUGUUUCGCCUAAAUUUUUGUAUAUUGUUAUCAGAAAUGAGAAUUGAUAGAUGUUAUUAUAGUUCUUGUUUUGCAAAUUUGUAUGAUUGUUAUCAAGAAAUGAGAGACUUGAUAAUUGUUAUUAGUGUUCUUGUUUUGCUAAUUGUAUUUGUUAUCGAAGAGAAUGAGAAGAUGAUGAGUGUUAUUAGGUUUGUUUUGCUAUUUCCGUUUUGUACUAGAAAUACAGAUUGUUGUAUAGUCUUGUUAUCAGAAAAUGAAGAAGAUUGAUGUAGGUGUUAUUAGUGUUCUUGUUUUUUGCUAAAUUUUGUAUAUUUUUAUCAAGAAAUGAGAAGUUGAUAUGUUAUUAGUGUUCUUGUUGUUGUUCUAAUUUUUGUAUAUUGUUUAUGAAGAAUGAGAAGAUGAGAGUGUUAUUAGUGUUUCUUGGUUUGCUAUUUUUGUAUUAAUUGUUAUCAAGAAAUGAGAAGAUUUGAUAGUGUUAUUAGUGUUCUUGGUUUUGCUAAAUUGUGUAUAUUGUUAUUCAAGAAAUGAGAAGAUUGAUAGUGUUAUUAGUGUUCUUGUUUUGCUAAAUUUUGUAUAUUGUUAUCAAGAAAUGAGAAGAUGUGAUAAGUGUUAUUAGUGUUCUUGUUUUGCUAAAUUUUUGAUAUUGUUAUCAAGAGAAAUGAGAGAGUUUGAUAGUGUUAUUAGUGAUUCAUUGUUUUGGCUAAAUUUUGUAUAUUGUUAUCAGAAAUAGAAGAGUGAUAGUGUUAUUUAGUGUUCUUUGUUAUCAAGAAACGUUUGACGCUUGACCCUUUAGCAAAAUCUCUCAAAAAUGAAAGGCUUGCAAUGGGGAAUUGCUCCAUGGCUUCUGUUCAUGGUUCAAAAUAAGGAUAUGGAAGAUCACAACCAAGUCGAUGUUAAGUCAUGACGGCACUGUUCGUUGAAUUUAUUGAUGGCUUCGAAGGGCCACACCACUGCUUCCUAUAUUCGUACGCACAUCUUCAGGACUCUAUUAUGUGAGUUAGUAUCUUUAACUUCUUUUUUUAAGCAUACUAAUGUUGUAUAUUGUUAUCGCAAGAAAUGAAGAAGAUUGAUUAGUGUUAUUAGUGUUCCUUGUUUUGCUAAAUUUGAUAUUGUUAGCAAGAAAUGAGAAGAUUUGAUAGUGUUAUUAGUUUCUUCUGUUUUUGCUAAAUUUGUAUAUUGUUAUCAAGAAUGAGAAGAUUGAUUUAGUGUUAUUAGUUUCUUGUUUGCUAAAUUUGUUAUUAUUGUGUAUCAAGAAAUGAGGAAAGACUGAUAGUGUUAUUAGGUGUUCUUGUUUUUGCUUAAAUUUUGGUAUAUUGUUUAUUCAAGGAAAUGAGACAGGAUUGAUAGUGUGAUUAGUGUUCUUGUUUUGCUAAAAUUUUAUAUUGUUAUCAAGAAAUGAGAAGAAUGAUAAUGUUAGUAGUGCUGUCUUGUUUUGCUAAAAUUUUGUAUUUGUUAUCAAGAAAAUGGAGAAAGAUUGAUAGUUGUUAUUAGUGUUCUUAUUGCUAAAUUUUUUAUAUUGAUAUCAAGAAAGAAAUGAGAAGAUUAUAGUGUUAUUUUAGUGUUCUUGUUUUGCUAAAUUGUUGUAUAUUUGUUUAUCAAAGAAAUGAGGAAGAUGAUAGUGGUGUAUUAGUGUUCUUGUUUGCUAAAUUGGUAUAUUGUUAUCAAGAAAAUGAGAAGAUUUGAUAGUGUGAUUAGUGUUCUUGUUUUGCCUAAUUUUGUAUAUUGUGUAUCAAGAAAUGAGAAGUUUGAUAAUGUUAUUAAGUGUUCUUGUUUUGCUAAAUUUUGUAUUAUUCCGUUAUCAAUUAAAUGAAGAAGAUAUAGUGUUAUUAGUGUUCUUUGUUUUGCUAAAAUUUUGCUUUUUGGCAUAUCAAGAAAUGAAGAAGAUUGAUAGUGUAUUUAGUGUUCUGGGUUUUGCUUAAAAUUUUGUAUAUUGUUAUCAAGAAAUGAGAAGAUUGAUAGGUGUUUAUUUGUGUUCUUUGUUUUUUGCUUAAAUUUUAUAUAUUUUAUCAAAGAUAUUCAGAAGAUUGAAGUGUUAUUAGUGUUCUUUGUUUUGCUAAAAUUUUGUAUAUUGUUAUCAAGGGAAAUAGGAAGCGUUUGAUAGUGUUAUUAGGUCUGUUUGUGUUUUAAUUUUGUAUAUUUGUUAUCAAAGAAAUGAGGAAGAUUGAUAGUGUUAAAUUAGUGUUCUUGUUUUGCUAAAUUUUGUAUAUUGUUAUCUUGAAAUAGAAGAUUGCAUGAGUGUUAUUUAGCUGUUUCUUGUUUGGGGCUAAUUUGUAUAUUGUUAUCAAGAAAUGAGAAAGAUUGAUAGUUGUGAUUAGUGUUCUUGUUUUGCUUAAAUUUUGUAUAUGUUAUCAAGAAAUGAGAAGAUUGGAUAAUUGUUUAUUAGUGUUCUUUGUUGCUAAAUUUUGUAUAUUGUUAUCAAAGAAAUGAGAAGGGUGAUAGUUUUAUUAGUGUUUCUUGUUUUGCUAAAUUUUGUAUAUUGUUAUCCAAGAGAUGAGAAGAUUGAUGAGUGUUUAUUUGUGUUCUUGGUAUCAAGAAAACGUUUGACGCUGACCCUUAUUAGCAAAAUCUCUCAAAAAUGAAAAAGCAGUGCAAUGGGGAAUUCUCCAUGGCUUCUGUUCAGUCAAAUAAGGAUAUGGAAGAUCACAAACCAAGUCGGAUGUAAGUCAUGACGCCACUGUUCGGUUUUGAAUUUAUGAUCGGCUUCGUAAGGCCACACCACUGCUUUCCUAUAUUCGUACGCACAUCUUCAGGACUGUUAUUAUGUGAGUUAUAUCUUUACUUCUUUUUUUUAGCAUACUAAUGUCGUAUAUUGCGUUAUCAAGAAAAUGAGAAGAUUGAAUAGUGUGAAAUUAGUGUUCUUUUUUGCUAAAUUUUUGUAUAUGUUAUCAGAAAUGAGGAAAGAUUGAUAGUGUUAUUAGUGUUUCUUGUUUUGCUAAAUUUUGCUUAUAUUUGUUAUCAAAAGAAAAUUUGAAGCAUUGAUUAGUGUUAUGGGAGGUUCUUGUUUGCUAAGUUUGGUAUUAUUUGUUAUCAAGAAAUGAGGGGAAAGAUUGAUAGUGUGAUUAGGUGUUCUUGUUUGCUAAAUUUUGUUGAUAUGUGUUAUCAAGAAAUGAGAAGAUUGGAUAAUGUUAUUAGUGUUUCUUGUUUUGCUAAAGUUCUGUAUAUCGUUUAUCAAUAAAUUGAGAAAGAUUGAUAGUGUUAUUAGUUUGUUCUUGUUUUUAUGCUAAAUUUUGAUAGGAUUGUAUCAAGAAAUUGGAGAAGAUUGGAUAGUGUUAUUAGUUGUUUUGUUUUGGCCUAAAUCUUGUAUAUUGUUAUCAAGAAAUUGAGGAGAAGCAUUGAUAGUGUUAUUUGUGUUCUUGUGUUUGCCUAAAAUUUUAUCUAUAUGUUUAUCAAAAAAAUCAGAAGCAUUUGCGCAUAGUGUUACUUUAGUUUCUUGUUUUGCUAAAUUUGAUAUUGUUUAUCAAGAAAAUAGGCCAAAGGCUUGAGUUUAGUGUUAUUAGUGUUCUUAUUUGUGACUUUUUAAUUUUGUAUAUUGUUAUCAAGAAAGGAAAGAAGAUUGAUAGUGUUAUUAGUGUUCUUGUUUUGCUAAAUUUGUUAUAUUGUUAUCAAGAAUGAGAAGAUUGAUAGUGUUAUUAGUGUGUUUCUUGUUUUGCUAAAUUUUGUAUAUUGUUAUCAAGAAAUGAGAAGAAUUGAUAGUGUUCGUGUUGAUUAGUGUUCUUUUUUGCCUAAAUUUUGUAUAUGUUAUCAAGAAAUGAGAAGAUUUUGAUAAUGUUAUUAGUGUUCUUGUUUGUGCCUUAAAAUUUUGGUAUGAUUGUUUAUCAAAGAAAUGAAGAAAGAUGAUAGUGUUAUUAGUGUUCUUGUUUUGCUAAAUUUUGUAUAUUGAUAUCCAAGAAAUGAGAAAGAUUGAUAGUGUGAUUAGUGUUCUUGUUUUGCUAAAUUUGCUAUUAUUGUUAUCAAGAAAUGAGAAGAUUGAUAAUGUUUAUUAGUGUUUUCUUGUUUUGCUAAAUUUGGUAUAUUUUAUCAAGAAAUGAGGAAGAUUUAUUUAGUGUUAUUAAGUGUUCUUGUUUUUGCUAAAAUUUUGUAUUAUUAUUAUCAAGAAAUGAGAAGGUGAUAGUGUUAUUAGUGUUCUUGCUUUUGCAAAAUUUUGUAUAUUGUUAUCAAGAAAUGAGAAGAUUGAUAGUGUUGUUAUGAGUGUUCUUAGUUAUUCAUGAAACGGUUGACGCUGACCCUUUAGCCAAAAAAUCUCUCAAAAAUGAAAAGGCAUUGCCAUAGGGAAUUCUCCAUGGGCUUUACUAUUCAGUCAAAUAAGAUAUGGAAGAUCACAACCAAGUCUAGGUAAAGUCAUGACGCACUGUUCGUUUGGAAUUUCAUUGAUUGGCUUCAAAGGGCCACACGACUGACUUCAAGAUACGUACGCACAUCUUUAGGGACUCUAUUACGUGAGUUAUUUUUUGGCUUCUUUUUUCUUAGCAUACUAAUAUACGUCUAAAUAUGUUAUCUAAAAGAAUGAGAAAAGAUUUGAAUAUUGUUACUAUGUUAAUUAUAGCUAACUUUGCAUCCUAAUUUGUCAUAUUGUACAAGAAAGAGAAAGAUAGAUCCGUAGUAAAACCCUUGAGUUGUGUCGUGUUUUGUCUUGAGAUUUUCCUGUAUUAUAAUGUCAUCAAGAAAUGGAGGAAGAUGAAUAGUGUGAUUUGAUGUUCUUCAGUUUUAGUCUAAAAUUUUUUUAUAUUACUGGUUACAAGGAGAAUGAAGAAAAGAUAUUGAUAUGUUCAUAGUGUCCGUAUCUUCUGUUCUGUUGCUAAAUUUAUGGUUAUACUAUGUUAUCAAUAGAAAAUGAGAAGAUGAUAGUGUAUUAUUCGUCUCCUUUGUUUUGAAACUCAUAAUAUUUAUAUGUAUAUCAGAGAAAAUCGAGAUAAUUGAUGAGUGGAUUAUAUUCGUUGUUUUGCAAACUUUGUGAUAAUUGUGUUAGUCAAGAAAUGAGUGAAGAUUGAUAUGUGUAUUAGUGUUCUUGUUUUGCUAACCAUUGUAUAUUAUAUCUACAGAGGAAUGAAAGGAUUGAUAAAUGUUAUUAGUGUCUUGUUGGUAAAAUUUGUAAUAUAUGUUAUCAAGAAAUGAGAAGAUUGAAUAGUGUUUUAUUUAGUGUUCUUGUUUUUCGCUAAAUUGUUGUAUAUUGAUAUCAAGAAAUAGGAAGGUGAUAGUGUUCAUUAGGUUCUUGUUGUAAUUUUUGUAUAUUGUUAUGAAGAAAUGAGAAGUAUGAUAGUGUUAUUAGUGUUCUUGUUUGCUAAAUUUUGUAUAUUGUGUAUCAAGAAAUGAGAAGAUUGAUAAGUGUUAUUAGUGUUCUUGUUUUGCUAAAUUUUUGUAUAUGUUAUCAAGAAAGAAUGAGAAGAUUGAUUAGUGUAUUUAGUGUUUCUUGUUUUGCUAAGUUUGUAAUAUUGUUAUCCAAGAAAUGAGAAACUUUGAUUAAUGUUAUGUUAGUAUGUUCUUGUUUUGCUAAAUUUUGUAUAUAUUGUUAUCAAGAAAGAGAAGGUAUGAUAGUGUAUUUAGUGUUCUUGUUUUGCUAAAUUUUUGUAUAUUGCGUAUCAAGAAAUGAGAAGAUUGAUAGUGUAUUAGUGUUACUUGUUAUCAAGAAACGUUUGACGCUGAGCCCUUUAGCAAAAUCUCUCAAAAAUGAAAGGCAUUUCGCCAUGGGGAAUUCUCCAUGGCUCUGUUCAGUCAAAUAAGAUUGAAGAUCACACAAGUCGAAUGUAAGUCAUGACCAACUGUCGUUUGAUUUAUGAGCUGAAGGCCAACCCACUGCUUCCUAUAUCUACGCACUCUCAGACUCAUAGUUCAUUCUUUAGCUUCUUUUUUUUAAGGCGAACUGAUUGUGUAAUGUUAUGCAAGAAUGAGAAAGCUGAUAGGUUAUUAGUGUUCUUGUUUGCUAAAUUGUGUAUUUGUUAUAGAGAAUGAGAAAAAAAUUAGUGUUAUUUAGUUGGUUCUUUUUUCGUAAAUUUUGUAUAUUGUUAUCAAGAAAUGAGAAGAUUUGAUAGUGUUAUUAGUGUCUUGUUUUGCUAAUUUGUAUAAAUUGUUAAUCCAAGGAAAUGAGAAAGAUUGAUAGUUAUAGUGUUCUUGUUUUGCUAAAUUUUGUAUUUGAGUUUAUCAAGAAAUGAGAAGAUUGAUAAUGUUAUUAGUGUUCUUGUUUUCUAAAUUUUGUAUAUCGUUAUCAAUAAAAUGAGAAGAUUGAUAGUGUUAUUAGUGUUCUUGUUUUUGCUAAAUUUUGUAUAUUUGAUAUCAAGAAAUGAGAAGAUUGAUAGUGGUAUAGUGUUCUUGUUUUGCUAAAUUUUGUAUAUGUUCAUCAAGAAAUGAGAAGAUUGAUAUUUUAUUUGUGUUCUUGUUUUGCUAAAUUUGUAUAUUAUUGUUAUCAAAAACGAAGAAAUAAUGUGUGUUAUUAGUGUUCUUGCUUUUCGCUUUAAUUUAUGUUAUUGUUAUUCAAGAAAUAGAAGUUGAUAGUGUUAUUAGGUGUUCUUGUUUUGUAACAUUUCUAAUUUGUAUAUUGCUUAUUCAAGAAAUGCAGGAAGAUUUGAUAGCUGUUAUUAGUGUUCUUGGUUUUUGACUAAAUUUUGUAUAUUGUUAUCAAGAAAUGAGGAAGCAUUGAUUAGUGUUAUUAGUGUUCUUGUUUUGCAAAUUUUGUAUAUGGUUAUCAAAGAAAUGAGAAGAUUGAUAGUGUGAUUAGUGUCUUGUUGUGCCUAAAUUUUGUAUAUUGUUAUCAAGAAAAUUGAGGAAGAUUGCAUAAGUUAUUAAUGUUCUUGUUUUUGCUUAAAUUUUGUAUAUUGUUAUCAAGCAAAUGAGAAGAUUGCAUAGUGUUAGUAGCUGUUCUUAUUUUGCCUAAAUUUUGUAUAUGAUCAAAGAAGAUUGAGAGAUUGAUAGUGUUAUGAGUGUUCUUGUUGUGCCUAAAUUUUGUUAUAUUGUUAUCAAGAAAAUGAGAAGGAUUGAUAACGUGUUAUUAGUGUUUCUUGUUUUGCCCUAAAUUUGUACAUUGUUAUCAAGAAAUGAGGAGAUUGAUAUGUUAUUAGGGUUCUUGUUUGGCUAAAUUUUGUAUAUUGUUAUCAAGGGAAAAUGAGAAGAUGUUGAUAGUUGUUAUUAGUGUUCUUGUUUUUGCUAAGUUGUAUAUUUUAUCAAAGAAAUGCAGAAGAUUGGAUUAGUGUUGAUUAGUGAUUCUUGUUUUCGCUUAAAUUUGGUAUAUUGUUUAUCAAAAACAUGAGAAGAUUGAUAAUGUUAUUAGUGGUUCUUGUUUUGCUAAAUUUUGUAUUAUGUUAUCAAGAGAAUAGGAGAAGAUUUGAUAGUGUUAUUAGUGUUCUUGUUUUGCUAAAAUUUUGUAUAUUGAUUAUCAAAAAUGAGAAGGAUUGAUAGGUUAUUAGUGUUCUUGUUUUUGCUAAAAUUUUGUAUAUUUGAUUAUCAAGAAAUGGGGAAGAUUGAUAUUGUAUUAUUGUAUCUUGGUUUUGCUAAAUUUUUCUUUAUUGUUAUCAAGAAAAUCAGAAGAUUGAUAGUGUUAUUUGUGGUUCUUGCUUUUUUGCUAAAUUUUUGUAUGAUUGUUAUCCAAGAAAGAGAGAAUUGAUAGUGUUAUUAGUUGUUCCUUGUUUUGCUAUAAUUUUGUAUAUUGUUUAUCAAGAAAUCAGAAGCUUGAUGUGUUAUUAGUCGUUCUUGUUUUUGUUAAUUUUGAUAUAUUGAUUAUCAAGAAAUGAGGAAAGAUUGAUAGUGUUAAUUUAGUGUUUUUCUUUUUGCUAAAUAUUGUUAGUAUUGGUUAUCAGGAAAUGAGAAGAUUGAUAGUGUUAUUAGUGUUCUUUUUUUGCAAAAAUUUUGUUUAUUUUAGUUUCGAAAAUGAGAAGAUGUUAGUGAUAUUAUGUUCUUGUUUUUGCUAAAAUUUUGGUUAUAUUUUGUUAUCAAAGAAAUUGGAAAAGAUUGAUUAUUUUGUUAUUAGUGUUUCUUGUUUUGCUAAAAUUUUUGUAUAUUUGGUAUUUUCAAAAAAAGGGAAAUGAGGAAAGGUGUGAUUAAGUGCUUAUUUUAGUUGUUUCCUUGUUUUGGCUUUAAAAUUUUUGGGUUUGUAUUUAUUGGUUUUAAUUCAAAAAAAAAGGGAAAAUUUUGAGGGGGGAAGAUUUUGGAUGUUUUUUUUUUUCCCCCUCCCUCCCUUUUUUUUCCCCGGNAGAAAUGAGAAGAUUGAUAGUGUUAAGUGUUCUAGUUUUGAUCAAAAUUUUGUAUAUUGUUAUCAAGAACAAUGAGAAGGAUGUGAUAGUGUUAUUAGUGAUUCUCUUGUUAUUUGCUAAAUUUUUUGUAUAUUCGUUAUCAAGAAACGAGAAGAUUGAUAGUGUAUUAGUGUUUGUUUGUUUGCUUCAAAUUUUCGUAUUAUUGGUUAUCCAAGAAAUGAGAAGAUUGAUAGUGUAUAUUAGUGUCUUGUUUUCGUAAAUUUGUAUAUUGUUAUCAAGAAAUGAGAAGAUUGAUAUUGUUUUAUUAGUUUUCUUGUUUUGCUAAAUUUUGUAUAUUGUUAUCAAGAAAGAGAAAGAAUAAGUGUUAUUAGUGUUCUUGUUUUGCGAAAUUUUGUAUAUUGUUAUCAAGAAAUGAGAAGAUUGAUAGGCGUUAUUAGUUCUUGUUUUGCCUAAAAUUUGUAUAUUGUUAUCAAGAAAUGAGAAGAUUGAUAGUAUUAUUAGUGUUCUUGUUUUGCUAAAUUUUGUAUAUUGUUAUCAAGAAAUGAGCAGAUUGAUAGUGUUAUAGUUUCUUGUUUUGCUAAAUUUUUAUAUUAUUAUCAGAAAUGAGAAGUGAUAGUGUUUUAUGUUUUGCUUUUGCCUAAAUUAUUGCAAUAUUGUUAUCAAGAAAUGAGAAGCAUAUAGUUAUAUUAUUCUUGCUGAUCAAGUAAACUUACGUGGACAGCAGAUUCAAAAUAGCAUUCAUGCGAUACGUUCCAUGCUCUGUUAGCAAUGAAUGGAUAACUGUGUAAUCUGAAUGUUCGUUUGAAUUAAUGAUGGCUUCGCCAAAUCAUUGUUCUAUAUUGACGCCACAUCAGGGAACGAUAUAGUGAGUUAUUCAUUUGCUUCUUGUUUCUAUAAUAUAAUGCUGUAUUAUUGUUAUCAAGAAAUGAGAAGAUGAUAGUGUUAUUAGGUUUCUUGGUUUUGCUAAAUUUUGUAUUGAUUGCUUAUUCAGAAAUGAGAAGAAUUGAUAAGUGUGAUUAGUGUUCUUGUUUUGCUAAAUUUUGUAUAUUGGUAUCAAGAAUGAGAAGAUUGCAUAUGUUAUUAGUCCUUCUUGUUUUGCCUAAAUUUUGUGUAUAUAUGUUAUCAGAGAAAUGAGAGGUUGAUAGUGUUAUUAGUGUUCUUGUUUGCUAAAUUUUUGUAUAUUGUUAUCAGAAAUGCAGAAGCAUUUUGAUAGUGUUAAUUGACUGUUCUUGUUAUCAAGAAACGUUGACGCUUGACCCUUUAGCAAAAUUCUCAAAAAUGAAAGGCAUUGCCAUGGGGAAUUCUCCAUGGCUUUCUUUUAAGUCAAUAAGGAUAUGGAAGCAUCACAACCAAGCUCGAUGUAUUUCUAAGUGUCAUUGACACACUGUUCGUUUGAAUUAAUGAUGGCGCUUCAAAGCCACCACCACUGCUUCCUAUAUUCGUACGCACAUCUUAGCGACUCUUAUUACGUGAGUUAUUUCUUUGCUUCUUUUUUUGCUAAAUUGGUAUAUUGUUAUCAAGAAAUCGAGAAGAUUGAUAGUUGUUAUUGGUUAUUGUUUCAAAUGUUUUGUUCAGGUAAUUGAGAGAUUGAUAAAUAGGUUUGUUGUUCCAAUUGUAUAUUGUUAUCAAGAAAUGCAGAAGAUUGAUAGGUUAUUAGUGUUCUUGGUUUUUCUAAAUAUGUCGUAUAUUUUGUCAAGAAAUGAGAAGAUUUGGAUUAGUGUAUACUUCUUGUUGCAUUCUUGUAUAUUGUCAGAAAUAGAGAAGAUUUAUGUUUUAUGUUCUUUAAUUGUUAUUUUUAUCAAGAAAUGAGAAGGUUGCAUAGUGUUAUCUAGUGUUCUUGUUUGCCUAAUAUUUGUAUAUUGUUAUAAAGAAAUGCAAAGAUUGAUAGUGUUAUUAGUGUUCUUGUUUUGCUAAAUUUUGUAUAUUGUUUAUCAAAAGAAAUGAUGAAGAUUGGUAGGUUAUUAGUGUUCUUGCUUUGAUGAAUUUGUUAUAUUCGUUGAUUCAAGAAAUGAGGAAGAUUGAUAGUGUUAUUAGUGUUUCUUGUUUUGACUAAAUUUUGUUUAUUGUUAUCAAGAAACGACAGAAGAUUGAUAGUGUAUUGGUGCUUCUUGUUUUGCUUAAAUUUUGUAUAUUGUAUCAUCUAACGCAAAUGCAGAAGACUUGAUAGUUUAAUUAGUGUUCUUGUUUUCUAAAUUUUUGUAGUAUGUUAUCAAAGAAAUGAGAAGAUUGAUAGUGUUAUGUAGUUUCGUUGUUUGACUAAAUUUAGUAUAUAAGUUAUCACAGAAAAUGAGAACGUUGAUAGGUUAUAGUGUUCUGUUUUGCUAAAUUUUUGUAUAUGCUUAUAUCUAAGAAAUGAAAGAUUGAUAGUGUUAUUAGUGUUCUGUUAUCAAGAAACAUUUAGACGCUGACCCUACCAAAACUCUCCUCCAAAAUGAAAGCUUUUCAUGCGGAAUUCUCCAUGGCUUCUGUUUAAGUCAAAUAAGAUAAUGGAAGAUUCACAACAUAGCGAUGAUAAAGCGCAUGACGCAUUUCGUCUCGUGAAUUUAUGGAAGGCUUCAAGCCACAACCAUGCUGCUCCUAUAUCCGUACGCACACUUUAGGCACUCUAUUAACGUGGAGUUAUUUUUUUGCUUCUUUUUUCCUUAGCAAACUUACUGAAUAUGUUAUCGUAAGAAAUGAAAAGAUUGAUAGUCGCUUAUUAGCUGCUUCUUGUUUUUGCUAAAUUUUGCUAUAUGUUUAUAAGAAAUCGAGAAAUUGAUAGUGUUUAUUACGUAGUGUUCUGUUUUGCUAAAUUUGAUUAUAUGUUAUAUCGGAAGAAAUGAUGAAUGAUGAUAGAGUGUUUAGUUUUACUGUUAUUGCUAAAAUUUGUAAUAUUGAUAAGAAUGCAGAAGAAUUGAAGUGUGGCUAUUAGUGAUUACGUCUGUUUGUCUAAAUUUUGUAUAUUGUUAUUCAGAAAGAGAGUAAGAUAUGUAUUAGUGUUAUUAGUGCUUCUUGAUUUUUUUAUUUUGAUGAAUUUGUAUAUUGUUAUCAAGAAAUGAGAGAUUGAUAGUGUUAUUAGGUGUGCUUGUUUUACUAAAUUUUGCUAUAUUGUUAUCAAGAAACGAGAAGAUUGAUAGUGUUAUGGUCGUUCCUUGCUUUUUCUAAAUUUGUAUAUUGUUAUCAAGAAAUAGAAGAUGAUACGUGUUAUUAGUGUUCCUUGCUUUUGCCUAAAUUUUGUAUAUUGUAUAUCAAGAAAUUGAGAAAUUGAUAGUGUUAUAGUCUUCUUGUUUGCUAAAUUUUGUAUAUUAUUUCAAGAAAUGAGAAGGUUGAUGUAGUGUUUUAGUGUCAUAGUUUUGCCUAAAAUAUUGUAUAUUUUAUCAAGCAAAAUGAAGUAAGAUUGCAUAGUGUUAUUAGUGUUCUUAGUUAUCAAGAAAAACGUUUGACCUGCACCAGUUAGCUGAAAAUCUCUCAAAAAAUGAAGGCGUUGCCAUUGGGGAAUUCUUCCAUUGGCUUCUUUUAAGUCAAAUAAGGAUAUGCGAAGCCAUCACAACCAAGUCGCAUGUAAGCCAUGACGCACUAGUUCGUUUUGAAUUUAUGAUGGCUUCAAAGGCCACACCAUUGCUUGCCUAUAUUCGUACGCCCACAAUCUUUAGCGAAAACUCUAUUAAGUGGAGUUAUUUCUUUGCUUCUUCUUUUUCUUAGCAUACUAUCUGUAUAUUGAUUAUCAAGAAAAAUGCCCAGAAGAUUGCAUAGUGUUAUUAGUGCUCCUUGUUUUGCUAAUUUUGUUAUAUAUUUAAUCAAGAAAUGAGAAGAUUGAUUACUGUUAUUACUGUUCUUGUUUUGCUAAAUUUUUGUAUAUUGUUAUCAAGAAAUGCAGAAGAUGAUAGUGUUAUAGUGUUCUUGUUUUGCAUUGAAUUUUAGUAUAUUGUUAUCAGAAAUGAGCAAAGAUUGAUAGUGUUAUUAGUGUUUCUUGUUACUAAAUUAUUUAUAUAUUGGUUUAUCAGAAAACGCAGAGAUGCAUAGUGUUAUUAGUGUUCUUGUUUUGCUAAAUUUUGUAAUCUUGCUUUAUCAAGAAAUGAGAAGCCAUUGCAUAGUGUUAUUAGUGUUCUUUGUUAUCAAGAACACGUGUUGCACGCUGACCCAUUUAGCAAAAUCUCUCAAAAAUGAAGGCGUUGCCAUGGCGGGAAUUCUCCAUGGCGCAUCUUCUUUUAAGUCAAUAAGGAUAUGGAAGAUCACAACCAAGGUCGACUGUAAGCCCAUGACGCCACUGUCGUUUGAAUUUAUGAUGGCUUCAAAGCCACACCAAUUGCUUCCUAUAUCCGUACGCCACAUCUUCUAGGACUCUAUUAAGUGAGUUAAGUUAUUUCUGGUUAUUUUGCCUUACUUUUUUCUUAGCCAUACUUAUCUGUUAUAUUGUUAUUCAAGAAAAUGAGGAAGAUUGAUAGCUGUAUUAGUGUCCCUUGUUUUGCUAAAUAUUUGCUAUAUUAUAUCAAAGUCAAAUGAGGAAGAUGAUAGUGUUAUUACUGUUCUUGUUUGCUAAAAUUAUGUAUAUUGUUAUAAAGAAAUGAGAAGAUUGAUAGUGUAUUAGUGUUCUAAUUUUGCUAUAUUAAGCUUAUCAAGAAAUGAAAGAAGAUGAUAGUGUUAUUCAGUGCUUCUGCUUUUACUAAAUUUGUUAAUUGUUAUCAAGAAACGCAGAAGAUUGAUAUGCUUAUUAGUGUUCUUGUUUUGCCUAAAAUAUUGCAAAUGAAAGGCAUUGCCAUGGGGAAUUCUCCAUGGCUUCUAUUCAGUCAAAUAAGGAUAUGGAAGAUCACAACCAAGUCGAUGUAAGCCAUGACGCACUGUUCAUUUGAAUUUAUGAUGGCUUCAAAAGCCACACCACUACUUCCUAUAUCCGUACGCACAUCUUUAGGACUCUAUUACGUGAGUUAUUUCUUUGCAUCUUUUUUCUUAUCAUACUUAUCUGUAUAUUGUUAUCAAGAAAUGAAAAGAUUGAUAGUGUUAUUAGUGUUUUUGUUUUGCUAAAUUAUGUAUAUUGUUAUCAAGAAAUGAGAAGAUUGAUAUUGUUAUUAGUGUUCUUGUUUUGCUAAAUUUUGUAAAUUGUUAUCAAGAAAUGAGAAGAUUGGUCGUGUUAUUAGUGUUCUUCUUUUGCUAAAUUUUGUAUAUUAUUAUCAAGAAAUGAGAAGCUUGAUAGUGUUAUUAGUCUUCUUGUUUUGCUAAAUUUUGUAUAUUAUUAUCAAGAAAUGAGAAGGUUGAUAGUGUUAUUAGUGUUCUUGUUUUGCUAAAUUUUGUAAAGAGAGAGAUUAACUCUAUUAUGUGAGUGUAUUCUUGCCUCGUUUUUUUCUUGAGCAAUAUCUAUCUGUAUAUUGUAUCCAAGAAAUGAGAAAGAUUGAUAGUGUUUAUUGUGUUCUUGUUUGCUAAAUUUUAUAUAUUUGUUAUCAAAGAAAUGAGAAGAUUGAUAGUGUUAUUAGGUUCUUGUUUUGCUAAAUUUGUAUAUUGUUAUCAGAAAUGAGAAGAUUGAAGUGUUAUUAGUGUUUUUUGUUUUGAAAUUUUGUAUAUUGUUAUCAAGAAAUGAGAAGAUUGAUAGUGUUAUUAGUGUUCUUGUUUUGCUAAAUUUUUUAUAUUGUUAUCAGAAAGAGAAGAUUGAUAGUGUUAUUAGUGUUCUUGUUUUGCUAAUUUUUGUAUAUUGUUAUCAAGAAAUGAGAAGAUUGAUAGUGUUAUUAGUGUUCUUGUUUUGUAAAUUUUGUAUAUUGUUAUCAAGAAAUGAGAAAUUGAUAGUGUUAUUAGUGUUCUUGUUAUCAAGAAAUGUUUGACGCUGACCCUUUAAGAAUCUCUCAAAAAUGAAAGGCAUUGCAUGGGAAUUCUCCAUGGCUUUUUGUUCAGUCAAAUAAGGAUAUGGAAGAUCACAACAGUGAUGUAAGUCAUGACGCCUGUUCUUUUGAAUUUAUGAUGGCUUCAAAGGCCACACCACUGCUUCCUAUAUCGUACGCACAUCUUUAGGACUCUUUUACGUGAGUUAUUUUUUGCUUCUUUUUUCUUAGCAUACUAAUCUGUGUAUAUUGUUAUCAAGAAAUGAGAAGAUUGAUAGUGUUAUUAGUGUUCUUGUUUUGCUAAAUUUUGUAUAUGUUAUGCAAAGAAAUGAGAAGAUUGAUAGUGUUAUUAGUGUUCUUGUUUGCAAAAUUUGUAUAUUGUUAUCAAGAAAUGAAAAGAUUGAUAGUGUAUAGUGUUCUUGUUUGCUAAAUUUUGUAUAUUGUUAUCAGAAAUGAGAAGAUUGAUAUGUUUUAUUAGUGUUCUUGUUUUGCUAAUUUUGUAUAUUGUUAUCAAGAAAUGAGAAGAUUGAUAGUGUUAUUAGUGUUCUGUUUUGCUAUUUUGAAUAUUGUAUCAAGAAAUGAGAAGAUUGAAAGUGUUAUAGUGUUCUUGUUUGCUAAAUUUUGUAUUUUUAUCAAGAAAUGAGAAGAUUGAUAGUGUUAUUUGUGUUUUUGUUUUGCUAAAUUUUGUAUAUUGUUAUCAAGAAAUGAAGAUUGAUAGUGUUAUUAGUGUCUUGUUUUGCUAAAUUUUGUAUAUUGUUAUCAAGAAAUAGGAAGGUUGAUAGUGUUAUUAGUGUUUCUUGUUUGCUAAUUUUGUAUAUUGUUAUCAAGAAAUGAGAAGAUUGAUAGUGUUAUUAGUGUUCUUGUUAUCAAGAAACGUUUUGACGCUGACCCUUUAGCAAAAUCUCUCAAAAUGAAAGGCAUUGCCAUGGGGAAUUCUCCAUGGCUUUUAUUCAGUCAAAUAAGGAUAUGGAAGAUCACAACCAAGUCGAUGUAAGCCAUGCCGCACUGUUCGUUUGAAUUUAUGAUGGCUCAAAGGCCACACCACUGCUUCCUAUAUCGUACGCACAUCUUUAGACUCUAUUAUGUGAGUUAUUUCUUUGCUCUUUUUCUUAGCAUACUAUCUGUAUAUUUUUCAAGAAAUGAGAAGAUUGAUAGUGUUAUUGUGUUCUUGUUUUGCUAAAUUUUUUGUUAUUUAUCAAGAAAUGAGAGAUUGAUAGUGUUAUUAGGUUCUUGUUUUGCUAAAUUUUGUAUAUUGUUAUCAAGAAAUGAGAAGAUUGAGUGUUAUUAGUGUUUUUUGUUUUGUAAAUUUGUAUAUUGUUAUCAAGAUGAGAAGAUUGAUAGUGUUAUUAGUGUUCUUGUUUUGCUAAAUUUUGUAUAUUGUUAUCAAGAAAGAGAAGAUUGAUAGUGUUAUUAGUGUUCUUGUUUUCUAAAUUUUGUAUAUUGUUAUCAAGAAAUGAGAAGAUUGAUAGUGUUAUUAGUGUUCUUGUUUUGAUAAAUUUUGUAUAUUGUUAUCAAGAAAUGAGAAAUAUUGAUAGUGUUAUUAGUGUUCUUGUUAUCAAGAAACGUUUGACGCUGACUCCUUUAGCAAAAAUCUCUCAAAAUGAAAGGCAUUGCCAUGGGGAAUUCUCCAUGGCUUCUGUUCAGUCAAAUAAGGAUAUGGAAGAUCACAACCAAGUCGAUGUAAGUCAUGACGCACUGUUCUUUAAUUUAUGAUGGCUUCAAAGCCACACCACUGCUUCCUAUAUUCGUACGCACAUCUUUAGGAUUUUAUUACGUGAGUUAUUUCUUUGCUUCUUUUUUCUUAGCAUACUAAUCUGUAUAUUGUUAUCAAGAAAUGAGAAGAUUGAUAGUGUUAUAGUGUUCUUGUUUUGCUAAAUUUGUAUAUUGUUAUCAGAAUAAUGGAAGAUUGAUAGUGUUAUUAGUGUUCUUGUUUUGCUAAAUUUUUGUAUAUUGUUAUCAAGAAAUGAGAAGAUUGAUAGUGUAUUAGUGUUCUUGUUUUGCUAAUUUUUUGAUAUGUAUCAAGAAAUGAGAAGAUUGAUAGUGUUUAUAGUGUUCUUGUUUGCUAAAUUUUGAUAUUGUUAUCAAGAAAUGAGAAGAUUGAUAGUGUUAUUGUGUUUUGUUUGCUUAAAUUUUGUAUAUUGUUAUCAAGAAAUGAGAAGAUUGAUAGUGUAUUAGUUGUCUUUUUGCUAAAUUUUGUAUAUUGUUAUCAAGAAAUAGAAGUUGAUAGUGUUAUUAGUGUUCUUGUUUGCUAAUUUUGUAUAUUGUUAUCAAGAAAUGAGAAGAUUGAUAGUGUAUAGUGUUAUUAGUNNNNNNNNNNUAGUUAUUGUAUGCAAAAAUGAGAAGAUUGAUAGUGUUAUUAGUUUUCUUGUUUUGUAAAUUUUGUAUAUUGUUAUCAAGAUGAGAAGAUUGAUAGUGUUAUUAGUGUUCUUGUUUUGCUAAAUUUUGUAUAUUGUUAUAAGAGAGAAGAUUGAUAGUGUUAUUAGUGUUUUAUGAUAGUGUUAUUAGUGUUCUUGUUAUCAAGAAACGUUUGACGCUGACCCUUUAGCAAAUUCUCUCAAAAAUGAAAGGCAUUGCCAUGGGGAAUUCUCCAUGGCUUCUAUUCAGUCAAAUAAGGAUGUGGAAGAUCACAACCAAGUCGAUGUAUGUCAUGACGCACUGUUCAUUUGAAUUUGUGAUGGCUUCAAAGGCCACACCACUACUUCCUAUAUUCGUACGCACAUCUUUAGGACUCUAUUACGUGAGUUAUUUCUUUGCUUCUUUUUUCUUAGCAUACUACUAUGUAUAUUGUUAUCAAGAAAUGAGAAGAUUGAUAGUGUUAUUAGUGUUCUUGUUUUGCUAAAUUUUGUAUGUUGUUAUCAAAAAAUAAGAAGAUUGAUAGGGUUAUUAGUGUUCUUGUUUUGCUAAAUUUUGUAUAUUGUUAUCAAGAAAUAAGAAGAUUGAUAGUGUUAUUAGUGUUCUUGUUUUGCUAAAUAUUGUAUAUUGUUAUCAAGAAAUGAGAAGCUUGAUAGUGUUAUUAGUCGUCUUGUUUUGCUAAAUUUUGUAUAUUAUUAUCAAGAAAUGAGUAGAUUGAUAGUGUAUUAGUGUUCUUGUUUUGCUAAAUUUGUAUAUGUUAUCAAGAAAUGAGAAGAUUGAUAUGUUAUUAGUGUUCUUGUUUUGCUAAAUUUGUAUAUUGUUAUCAAGAAAUGAGAAGAUUGAUAGUGUUUAUUAGUGUUCUUGUUUUGCUAAUUGUAUAUUGUUAUCGAAGAUGAAAGAUUGAUAUGUUAUUAGUGUUCUUGUUUUGCUAAAUUUUGUAUAUUGUUAUCAAGAAAUGAGAAAGAUUGAUAGUGUUAUUAGUGUUCUUGUUUGCUAAAUUUUGUAUAUUGUUAUCAAGAAAUGAGAAGAUUGAUAGUGUUAUUAGUGUUCUUGUUUUGCUAAAUUUGUUAUAUGUUAUCAAGAAAUGAGAAGAGUAUAGUGUUAUUAGUGUUCUUGUUUGCUAAAUUUUGUAUAUUGUUUCAAGAAAUAGAAGAUUGAUAGUGUAUUAUGUUCUUGUUUUGCUAAAUUUUGUAUAUUGUUAUCAAGAAAUGAGAAGAUUGAUAGUGUUAUUAGUGUUCUGUUUUUGCUAAUAUUGUAUAUUGUUAUCAAGAAAUGAGAGAAGAUUGAUAGUGUUAUUAGUUUCUGUUUUGCUAAAUUUUGUAUAUUGUUAUCAAAGAAUGAGAAGAUUGAUAGUUUAUAUGUUCUUGUUUUGCUAAAAUUUGUAUAUUGUUAUCAAGAAAUGAGAAAGAUUGAUAGUGUUAUUGUGUUCUUUUUUUCUAAAUUUUGUAUAUUUUUAUCAGAAAUGAGAAGAUGAUAGGUUAUUAUGUUCUGUUUUGCUAAAUUUGUAUAUUAUACAAGAAAUGAGAGAUUGUAGUGUAUUAGUGUUCUUGUUUUCUAAAUUUUGUAUAUUGUAUCAAGAAAUGAGAAGAUUGAUAGUGUUAUUAGUGUUCUUGUUUUGCAAAAUUUGUAUAUGUUAUCAAGAAAUGAGAGGAUUGAUAGUGUUAUUAGUGUUCUUUUUGCUAAAUUUUGUAUAUUUAUACAGAAAUGAGAAGAUUGAUAGUGUUAUUAGUGUUCUUGUUUUGCUAAAUUUUGUAUAUUGUUAUCAAGAAAUGAGAAGAUUGAUAGUGUUAUUAGUGUUUUGUUUUGCUAAAUUUUGAUAUUGUUAUCAAGAAAUAGAAAGAUUGAUAGUGUUAUUAGUGUUCUUGUUUUGCUAAAUUUGUAUAUUGUUAUCAAAAUGAGAAGAUUGAUAGUGUUAUUAGUGUUUUGUUUUGCUAAAUUUUAUAUUGUUAUCAAGAAAUGAGAAGAUUGAUAGGUUAUUAGGUUUCGUUUUGCUAAAUUUUGUAUAUGUUAUCAAGAAAUGAGAAGAUUGAUAGGGUUAUUAUGUUCUUUUGUUUUGCUAAAUUUUGUAUAUUUAUCAAGAAAUAAGAAGAUUGAUAGUGUUAUUAGUGUUCUUGUUUUGCUAAAUUUUGUAUAUUGUUAUCAAGAAAUGAGAAGUUUGAUAGUGUUAUUAGUGUCUUGUUUUGCUAAAUUUGUAUAUUUUAUCAAGAAAUGAGAAGUUGAUAGUGUUAUUAGUGUUCUUGUUUUGUAAAUUUGUAUAUGUUAUCAAGAAAUGAGAAGAUUGAUAGUGUUAUUAGUGUUCUUGUUUUGCUAAAAUUUGUAUAUGUUAUCAGAAAUGAGAAGAUUGAUAUUGUUAUUAGUGUUCUUGUUUUGCUAAAUUUGUAUAUUGUUAUCAAGAAAUGAGAAGAUUGAUAGUGUUAUUAGUGUUCUUGUUUGCUAAAUUUUGUAUAUUGUUAUCAAGAAAUGAGAAGAUUGAUAGUGUUAUUAGUGUUCUUGUUUUGCUAAAUUUUGUUUAUUGUUUAUCAAGAAAUGAGAAGAUUGAUAGUGUUAUUAGUGUUCUUGUUUUGCUAAAUUUUAUAUUGUUAUCAAGAAAUAGAAGAUUGAUAGUGAUUAGUGUUUUUUUUGCUAAAUUUUGUAUAUUGUUAUCAAGAAAUGAGAAGAUUGAUAGUGUUAUUAGUGUUCUGUUUUUCUAAAUUUUAUAUUGUUAUCAAGAAAUGAGAAGAUUGAUAGUGUUAUUAGUUCUUGUUUUGCUAAAUUUUGUAUAUUGUUAUCAAGAAAUGAGAAGAUUGAUAGUUAUUAGUGUUCUUGUUUUGCUAAAUUUUGUAUAUUGUUAUCAAGAAAUGAGAAGAUUGAUAGUGUUAUUAGUGUUCUUUUUUCUAAAUUUUGUAUAUUUUAUCAGAAAAGAGAAGAUUGAUAGUGUUAUUAUGUUCUUGUUUUGUAAAUUGUAUAUUUUAUCAAGAAAUGAGAAGAUUGAUAGUGUUAUUAGUGUUCUUGUUUUCUAAAUUUGUAUAUUGUUAUCAAGAAAUGAGAAGAUUGAAUAUGUUAUUAGUUCUUGUUUGCAAAAUUUGUAUAUUGUUAUCAAGAAAUGAGAGAUUGAUAUGUUAUUAUGUUCUUUUUUGCAAAUUUGUAUAUUAACAAGAACAUGAGAAGAUUGAUAGUGUUAUUAGUGUUCUUGUUUUGCUAAAUUAUGUAUAUUGUUAUCAAGAAAUGAGAAGAUUGAUAUUGUUAUUAGUGUUCUUGUUUUGCUAAAUUUUAUAAAUUGUUAUCAAGAAAUGAGAAGAUUGAUAGUGUUAUUAGUGUUCUUGUUU
rnacentral:lncRNA from 1 species